rnacentral:rRNA from 1 species
GAUGAACGCUGGCGGCGUGCCUAAUACAUGCAAGUCGAGCGAACGGACGAUAAGCUUUCUUCUCUGAUGUUAGCGGCGGACGGGUGAGUAACACGUGGAUAACCUACCUAUAAUACUGGGAUAACUUCGGGAAACCGGAGCUAAUACCGGAUAAUAUUUUGAUCCGCAUGGUUCAAAAGUGAAAGACGGUCUUGCUGUCACUUAUAGAUGGAUCCGCGCUGCAUUAGCUAGUUGGUAAGGUAACGGCUUACCAAGGCAACGAUGCAUAGCCGACCUGAGAGGGUGAUCGGCCACACUGGAACUGAGACACGGUCCAGACUCCUACGGGAGGCAGCAGUAGGGAAUCUUCCGCAAUGGGCGAAAGCCUGACGGAGCAACGCCGCGUGAGUGAUGAAGGUCUUCGGAUCGUAAAACUCUGUUAUUAGGGAAGAACAUAUGUGUAAGUAACUGUGCACAUCUUGACGGUACCUAAUCAGAAAGCCACGGCUAACUACGUG